GACGAACGCUGGCGGCGUGCUUAACACAUGCAAGUCGAACGGUGAAGCGCCUUCCUUUUUGGUGGGUGUGGAUGAGUGGCGAACGGGUGAGUAACACGUGAGUAACCUGCCCCCUUCUUCUGGAUAACCGCAUGAAAGUGUGGCUAAUACGGGAUAUUCUGGGUCUGUCGCAUGAUGGGUCUGGGAAAGAUAUUGUUUCGGUGGGGGAUGGGCUCGCGGCCUAUCAGCUUGUUGGUGGGGUGAUGGCCUACCAGGGCGGUGACGGGUAGCCGGCCUGAGAGGGUGGACGGUCACACUGGGACUGAGACACGGCCCAGACUCCUACGGGAGGCAGCAGUGGGGAAUAUUGCACAAUGGGCGCAAGCCUGAUGCAGCGACGCCGCGUGAGGGAUGGAGGCCUUCGGGUUGUGAACCUCUUUCGCCAGUGAAGCAGGCCUGCCUCGUUUGUGGGUGGGUUGACGGUAGCUGGAUAAGAGGCGCCGGCUAACUACGUG
rnacentral:rRNA from 1 species